GCCAGUGCAGCCUCAGGCCCCUGGCUCCGCCGGAUCUGUUCUCAGCCCGAAGGCCAAGGUCUCGGAGCGCAGUGUCCCCCAGAGGCCUCUGCAAAGGUAGGCGUGCCGGCUCCUCUCGUUCCUACCUAAGUAACUGUUAGCAGGAACAGGAACUAGACUUUCAUCAUGGUCAGUCUCUCCGCCAACUUCAUAAGGCCCAUCUUCAAAGAUGUUCAUGUCAAAAAAAGUGUUAUUCUUUUGUUCUACGCGCACAAUCCCUGAAGGAAUGAGAUGGUAAAAAGAACAACAACAAAAGUGAAGAUGAAACAAAAUAAAACAGAUGGAUCCUAAUAAAACAUUCCUCAUGUUAUCCCACUAAGUACAGCAAGGAAAGUUAGGAGGAAGAAAAGGCAGGAAAAAAGAAAUGACUUUUGAGGUUUUGAAGUUAAAAAAUCAUGCUCAUGUAAAUUUUUACGUCAAAGAAAGUUGUUCUAGUAAUAA